UACGAAGGGUGCAAGCGUUAAUCGGAAUUACUGGGCGUAAAGGGUGCGUAGGCGGUUGUUUAAGUCUGUCGUGAAAUCCCCGGGCUCAACCUGGGAAUGGCGAUGGAUACUGGGCAGCUAGAGUGUGUCAGAGGAUGGUGGAAUUCCCGGUGUAGCGGUGAAAUGCGUAGAGAUCGGGAGGAACAUCAGUGGCGAAGGCGGCCAUCUGGGACAACACUGACGCUGAAGCACGGAAGCGUGGGGAGCAAACAGG
rnacentral:rRNA from 1 species